rnacentral:rRNA from 1 species
UACGGAGGGUGCAAGCGUUAUCCGGCUUUACUGGGUUUAAAGGGUGCGUAGGCGGGCUUUUAAGUCAGUGGUGAAAUCUCCGGGCUCAACCCGGAAAUUGCCAUUGAUACUAUUAGUCUUGAAUUAAGUUGAGGUGGGCGGAAUGUGUCAUGUAGCGGUGAAAUGCGUAGAUAUGACACAGAACACCGAUUGCGAAGGCAGCUCGCUAAACUUAUAUUGACGCUGAGGCACGAAAGCGUGGGGAUCAAACAGG